UCGGGGGGUUUGCAACGGUUGCUGAGGUGGAAAAGCUAGGGGAGCAAUCAGGAUAAGAUACCCUGGUAGUCCUAGCCAUAAACGAUCAGGACUGGGUGUGAGCCCUGUACGGGUCCCGCGCCGGAGCUACCGCGUUAUGUCUUGCGCCUGGGGAGUACGGUCCCAGGGAUGAAACUCAAAAGAAUUGACGGGGUCCCGCACAAGCGGUGGAACAUGUGGUUCAAUUUGACGCAACGCGAAGAACCUUACCUGGGCUUGAGCCGCACCGGACCAUCCCUAGAAAUGGGGACUUCCCGCAAGGGACUGGUGUAGAGGUGUUGCAUGGCUGUCGUCAGCUCGUGCCGUGAGGUGUUGGGUUAAGUCCCGCAACGAGCGCAACCCUUACUGGUAGUUGCCACCCGCAAGGGGGAACUCUACGAGGACUGCUCCGGAUAACGGAGAGGAAGGUGGGGAUGAGGUCAAGUCAGCAUGGCCUUUAUGUCCAGGGCCACACACGUGUUACAAUGCGCGCUACAAAGCGUCGCGAGCCCGCGAGGGGGAGCUAAUCGCAAAAAAGCGCGCUCAGUUCGGAUUGCAGUCUGCAACUCGACUGCAUGAAGCCGGAAUCGCUAGUAAUGGCGCAUCAGAACGGCGCCGUGAAUACGUUCCCGGGCCUUGUACACACCGCCCGUCACAUCACGAAAGUGAGCUGUACUAGAAGUCGCCGAGCUAACCGCAAGGAGGCAGGCGCCCAAGGUAUGACUCAUGAUCGGGGUGAAGUCGUAACAAGGUAACCUCCGAGCUCGGACCAAGCUA
rnacentral:rRNA from 1 species